CCUCCGGUGCUCCCCCGGCACGGCCGGUCUGGAAUCGUGAGGGAGAGUGGAUCUCGGAGUGUGAGCGCUUGCCGCGACACCCCUUCCCGCACCGCGUGCGCUGCUCGCCCUGUGUGACACAUCCCGCAAGCUCAUUACCGUGCCCAGAUGCAGAGGUGUCUGCACUGAUUGUGUGGUCUGAUGGGCUAGACAGCUCAGAAACACACCAAAAGUAAGCUGACUAACUCCUUCUACCACCUGGGACCUUGGUGUGGAAGACGGGUUAUAAAACACUGAGUUACAAACCUCGCUGUGGAGGAGUGGGAAUUGGAAGCUAAUUGCAUUUACAUGCAGGCAGGUGACUCGACAUUUCCCUGCUGUGGACGGCUGCUCUCUCAGCAGGCUGCAUCACAGAUUCACCUGGAUUAGUGAUGUUUUGGGUAGGAUGUGAAGGAAGGAGAUAUUCUCUGCAGUGGGAGCAGGAAUUAUUUUAUUCAAGGAUAAAAUAAUGGGCCCUAUAAUGCACUAUGGAUCCAGACUCUUCCACUUCAGGUCUGCCAGUCGGAGCAGCUGCUGGAUCCACAGCUCCCCACCUGAGGAAAAAGUGGGACUAGUGGAGACGAUCAUUGGAUUCUCAGCAUUUUCACUGGCAGUUCUUGGACCAGCUGGAUGGUUCCUGUGCCACCUUCCAAGCUAUAAAAAGAAAUAGAAAACAUCCCUUCAAAAUUAAGAUGUGAAGGCUGCAAUCAACUGUAAUACUCCAAACUUGGAUUCUCUUGAAAGCCCUGAUAUAGAAUAUAGCUAACUAAAGUCCCAGUUCACACACUAUUAUCCAUCCCAGGUCCCAGGUCAGAAAGCUUUUGCAGAUUUUGUGGAACUGGACCCAGAAAUUAAAUGGUGUAGGGAUGCAAAAUAGUGUCAGGUCUACUCUGCCAUCACCUGCUGCAUUGGACCAGUCUGCAUGUACCAGUCUGGAUCUGUCAUCAGGUACUGCGGGAAAUGGAAGAUCGGCGAGGAGGAUUGUAAACACGCUCGAGUGACCUGCAGUUUGGGUGUCAAAAAAACACAUAUAUCAUACUAAUUGUUGUUUGACCUUGUGUGUUAGACAGGUAGAACAUCUGUGUUUAGAUAACAUAGGCCUGUGGUAGCCUUAGAGGCACCCUACUGAACAUGCUUGAGAUUCUUGCCCUGCUGUGGGCAAGGUUAAAGCACAGUGGUAAAUUAUGCUUGUGCAAAUCCUUGAAAUACAGGAGAAAACAGCAGGUUGGGUGAUCCUAUUGCAUGGAUCAAGCUUCACAGUACUUGUGUUCCCACUUGUGUGUCUCUUCUGAUUGCUGCUUCGGUGAUCCCUGGUUGGCGAGGUAACAGAAGCGAAUUUACUCUCUGCAUUUAAUCUGUGGUUUUGAGGUUGUUCCUGUGUCCUGCCUGUGUCGACUCCUACUGGUACCAUCACAGCUUUAAACUAAAUAAAUGGGAGAAAAUACAGAAAAAAAAUAUUUUUAUAGUCAUCUCAGACAAAAAUUCUGAGAGUUUAAGAUGAUUUUCUCCAAAGUUUCUCUUGAAUGUUUACAUUCAUGUUCUUUUGGUGUGUUCCCCCACCCAAUCUACUCUUCCACAAGGAUAAAUGUUUUUCUGCAGAUCAUGAUUAUUAGAUACUUCACUUUAUUUUCAAUGUCUAGAUUAAAAUUUGUGACAUUUGAGAUAUAUUCCUAUGAUUGCUAUUUACAAUAAAUGCUAUGAUAAAUACUUUGAAUUUUAGACUAUAUUUGAGAAAAGUACAAUAAAUAAUACUUGUUAAGCCAUGUUACAUGUGUUAUAAAGGAAUGUCUUCUAAUAAUUUCAUGUCUGUCUUGCAAAAAAAUACAGAAUAUUAACCUAUCUCACUUUGUGUUUCCCACCAAGGCUCUUGUCUCUGAUAGCCCACCCUUCAUUUCAUCUUGCAUAGCUCCUGGACUCCCAUGUGGAGCAAACCCAUUUGCAGGAGAGACUAGCUGGCUCAGCUGGCUCCUAGGGAGGUAGUCUUCAAGCACACAAGCAAGAUCAGUCAGCUCUACUUGUUACUGAGCCAGGGAUUUGAUGUAGCAUGGGUCCCAAACAUGGUACAGAUGUGGUAAAACACCUUAGCAGCGUUGAACAUCACAUGUUUUCU